CAGUCGCCGCGGGAAUACGUAGGUGGCAAGCGUUGUCCGGAAUUAUUGGGCGUAAAGGGCUCGCAGGCGGUUUCUUAAGUCUGAUGUGAGAGCCCCCGGCUCAACCGGGGAGGGUCAUUGGAAACUGGGAAACUUGAGUGCAGAAGAGGAGAGUGGAAUUCCACGUGUAGCGGCGAAAUGCGUAGAGAUGUGGAGGAACACCAGUGGCGAAGGCGACUCUCUGGUCUGUAACUGACGCUGAGGAGCGAAAGCGUGGGGAGCGAACAAGAUUAGAUACCCCGGUAGUCCCUGUCUCUUAUAC
rnacentral:rRNA from 1 species